GGGUGGCAAAUGCCACCCUAAAAGAAAGCCUUACCACACCUGCUGCCACCCCAGUUGGCAGCAACGAAUUAAAAGUUAUGGCCAAUUUGACAAUUUACGAGUGCAAAUCUCCAAUGUCCGACUGCAGUCACUGCAGCGUAUGAUGACGCCAGAGCUGAG